AGUGAACGCUGGCGGCAGGCCUAACACAUGCAAGUCGAACGGCAGCACAAGAGAGCUUGCUCUCUGGGUGGCGAGUGGCGGACGGGUGAGGAAUGCAUCAGAAUCUGCCCAUUUGUGGGGGAUAACCUCGGGAAACCGGGACUAAUACCGCAUACGACCUACGGGUGAAAGCAGGGGAUCUUCGGACCUUGCGCAGAUGGAUGAGCCGAUGCCGGAUUAGCUAGUUGGAGGGGUAAAGGCCCACCAAGGCGACGAUCCGUAGCUGGUCUGAGAGGAUGAUCAGCCACACUGGGACUGAGACACGGCCCAGACUCCUACGGGAGGCAGCAGUGGGGAAUAUUGGACAAUGGGCGCAAGCCUGAUCCAGCCAUGCCGCGUGUGUGAAGAAGGCCUUCGGGUUGUAAAGCACUUUUGUUGGGAAAGAAAAGCAGCCGGUUAAUACCCGGUUGUCAUGACGGUACCCAAAGAAUAAGCACCGGCUAACUUCGUG
rnacentral:rRNA from 1 species